rnacentral:rRNA from 1 species
GCUAAAAAUUUAGCCCACACUUUUUCUACACAAACCCAAUAACCCAUUAAAAUAUUUUAAUAUUUAAGUAGGGAUGACCAAAAAACUAACAAGAGCUAUACUAAAGUACCGCAAGGGAAAAAUGAAAUAGUAAUGAAAUACCACAAAGCACAAAAAAGUAAAGAUUGUCACUUGUACCUUUUGCAUCAUGGUUUAACUAGUACAAUCAAGCAAAAAGACUCUUAGUUUGACCCCCCGAAACUGAAUGAGCUACUUCAGAGCAGCUUCUCGAGCUAACCCGUCCCUGUUGCAAAAUGGUGGGAGGACUCUGCAGUAGAGGUAAUAAGCCUAACGAAUUCAGUGAUAGCUGGUUACUCAGGAAAAGAAUUUUAGUCCAACCUAAAGCUACCCAAUAAAAUAAACUAUAUACUUUAGAGCAAUUCAAAUAAGGUACAGCCUAUUUGACUCAGGACACAGCCUCAAACAAUGGCUAACUUAUAUUAAACUUAAACUAAGUAGGCCUAAGAGCAGUCACCUUAGAAAAGCGUUAAAGCUUAAUUUUCGCCACAUUAAUCCUAUAACCCAUAAAGAACCCUUCAUCAAUACUGAGUAUUUCUAUAUAACUAUAGAAAUUUUUAUGUUAAAACUAGUAACAAGAAGACACUUCUCUUUUAAUGCAAGUAUAAAUCAGAACGGAAUCUCCACUGAUACUUAUACCCCACAACAGCAACCCCACACCCUCGAAAAUCCUGCCUUUUCAAUUGUUAACCUUACACAAGAGCAUUUCAAGAAAGAUUUUAAAAAAAAGAAGGAACUCGGCAAAUAUAGAUUCCGCCUGUUUACCAAAAACAUCGCCUCUUGCCUAAACAUAAGAGGUCCAACCUGCCCAGUGAUAUCAAUUCAACGGCCGCGGUAUCCUGACCGCGCAAAGGUAGCAUAAUAACUUGUCUCUUAAAUGGGGACUAGCAUCAAAGGACCCACGAGAAUCUAACUGUCUCCUUUUUUUAAUCUGUGAAACUAAUCUCCCCGUGAAAAAGCGGGGAUUAUACUAUAAGACGAGAAGACCCUAUGGAGCUUUAGAUAAAGCAAUACUUUCUUUCUCCAACUCCUUUUCAGAAAAAUACCCACUAAAGCACCUUAUUGCCUAUCUUUGGUUGGGGCGACCGCGGAGUAAAAUUUACCCUCCACGUUGAAUGGGAAACUCCCACAACAGAGAGCCACAGCUCUAUGCCUCAAAAAAUUGACAAUUGACCCAAUAUUUGAUCAACGAAACAAGUUACCCUAGGGAUAACAGCGCAAUCUACUUCAAGAGUCCUUAUUGACAAGUGGGUUUACGACCUCGAUGUUGGAUCAGGGUACCCCAGUGGUGCACCCGCUACUAAAGGUUUGUGUGUUCGACAAUUAAAACCCU